rnacentral:lncRNA from 1 species
UAAUUAAGUUGACCUUAGAGACUGAUGGUGAGUGGGUGACUCUUCUUCCCUUCAUCCUUUAUAGAGUACAGAACUCCCCAUACCAAAUGGGACUCACUCCUUUGGAAGUUAUGUUUGAUUCACCUACUGACAGAAGUUAUUACGUGACCUCAAGGGUGCCCAGUGGGUACACAAAUGUGUUUGGCUUAAACUUCGUGCUUUCCAUAAAACAGGUCCACCUCCAAAGCUCCACCAACUUUAGCCUGGAGAUUGGGCCCUAGUCAAGAGACACUGCCAGAGGUCACUAGAGCUUCACUGAAAGGGUCCCUGUGCUACAGAGUUGCAGUGUGGAUUCACCACACAUCCAUUUGCAGUUGAAGAAGAAAGACCCUGGCCAGCAGGAGGAGAAUUCAGCCUCAAGACUCCUUCCUGUCUCCCAUUAAUGGGCUCCUACCCAUGCCCCCACCGCAAAGAUAUUACUGUUACUGCUUUCAUGAAGGUUCAGAAAGUCCCAUGAUUGGUACUUCUAGUCACAAGAGAAAGGGGUGGGGGGAUGAGAUGCCAAAGCUUUUAAGUCCAGACUCCAUUUUAGGGAAGCUGACCUGAGUUUGAACCCAGGUGAACUAACAGGAUGGUACCUAGCAUUAGUUUCCAAGUUGCUCCCCCCCCAGCCCCCCCCCCCCCCCCGCAACAAAACCUGAGCCUAGCUCCAGUCUCUAUGUUAAUCCCCACAAAAGCAGAGUUUACCAGUGUCUCUAGGUUAUUCCUCCAACAAACCUGCAUUCCAAGUUACAAGCCCACCCCUUGCCUAAUGACCACCAAUUCAGAGGGGAGCAGAAGUUAAGUUUAUAUGACUCUCAGCACCAGUCAAUUGUAUUAGAGGCCACAAUAGCUUUCCAAUUAGAUGCUUGUACACGUACUUCCUGCUUGCUACUUACUAUAAAGCCUUGCCCCAUAGGCAUUCGGGGCUCCCCCACCACCAAAACCAUCCUGUGUGAUGGUGGUGCAUUGGGGGUGGGGGUGUAGGAGAGCUAGCUGGAAUAGAAUAAAGACCCUGCUGUGAAUUGCAUCAGAUUGGCUCCUGUGUGUGUUUCUGGAGAUCACUAACAUUUCCCUUAUAUAACAUAAGCUCUUUGGGUAGACCCCAGGCUUAAGUUCCCAAAGCUACUGCUGCUAAGGAAACCCUGUUUUGUAAAGAUUGAGAGUUACUACAAUAAAGCUUUUCUAACAGAACCUAGUCCCCCAAAAAGUGUUUAAUCAACGUUAUUCUAUUCUCCAGAGCUGUGAGCAUGAGC